GACGAACGCUGGCGGCGUGCUUAACACAUGCAAGUCGAACGGAAAGGCCCCUUUGGGGGUUCUCGAGUGGCGCACGGGUGAGUAACACGUGAGUAACCUGCCCUGGACUUCGGGAUAACUUCAGGAAACUGGGGCUAAUACCGGAUAGGAAUCCUUGCUGCAUGGUGGGGGUUGGUAAGCUUCGGCGGUUUUGGAUGGACUCGCGGCUUAUCAGCUUGUUGGUGGGGUAGUGGCUUACCAAGGCUUUGACGGGUAGCCGGCCUGAGAGGGCGACCGGCCACAUUGGGACUUGGGGACGGCCCCGGCUCCUACGGGAGGCAGCAGGGGGGAAGAUUGCACAAUGGGCGGAAGCCUGAUGCAGCAACGCCGCGUGCGGGAUGACGGCCUUCGGGUUGUAAACCGGCUUCAGCAGGGGCGAAGCUUGUGGUGACGGUACCUGCAGAAGAAGCACCGGCUAACUACGUG
rnacentral:rRNA from 1 species